rnacentral:rRNA from 1 species
CUACGGGCUGCACCAGUGGGGAAUAUUGGACAAUGGACCAAAAGUCUGAUCCAGCAAUUCUGUGUGCACGAUGACGGUCUUCGGAUUGUAAAGUGCUUUCAGUUGGGAAGAAAAAAAUGACGGUACCAACAGAAGAAGCGACGGCUAAAUACGUGCCAGCAGCCGCGGUAAUACGUAUGUCGCAAGCGUUAUCCGGAUUUAUUGGGCGUAAAGCGCGUCUAGGUGGUUUGAUAAGUCUGAUGUGAAAAUGCGGGGCUCAACUCCGUAUUGCGUUGGAAACUGUCAAACUAGAGUAUCGGAGAGGUGGGCGGAACUACAAGUGUAGAGGUGAAAUUCGUAGAUAUUUGUAGGAAUGCCGAUAGAGAAGUCAGCUCACUGGACGAAUACUGACACUGAAGCGCGAAAGCAUGGGGAGCAAACAGGAUUAGAUACCCCCGUAGUC